CAGGAUGGGCCAUACAUUUGCCACAGUUGGAGAAAAAAUAUACUUAUUUGGAGGCUGCUCUAGUGACCAUAUUUACUACAAUGAUGUAUAUAUGCUGGACACAGUUACUUUGGUGUGGCAGCAUUGUGAGGUCAAAGGUGAAAAGCCAAGUGGACGUAAAUACCAUUCAUUUACUGCACAUCAUGAUAAGGAUAUUUAUCUGUUUGGAGGAAUUCAAGAAUCUGAACAUGGGG